UACAUUCAGGUGUUGGGUUGCAAAGACAUUUUACAAGGUGGGCAAGAGGCCUCCAUCACAGAUUUGUGGAGGAUUUGGUGAUGGUGACUGCAGUGUGAUUCAGAUCCCAUCUGAACAUGGAUUGGAAAUUGAUCUGAACCCUUGUCCUUGUCUUCCCAGCAAUGUCAAUUUCAUCAUCGUUAUGAGAGAGAGAGAGAGAG
rnacentral:lncRNA from 1 species